AAUUAUGGUGGGCUGGGCAGGGGAGCCGAAAGGCUCGCCGGUUUCCUUGAUCGCCGGUAGUUCCAACCCUGUUCAGUCCGCCACCAGC
ncrna:Escherichia coli 53638 C4 antisense RNA